UGAUGUCUGCGUUUAUAAAUUGUAAAGGGAAAUGGGAAAUGUUAUAUCACAUAGACUGAUGUAGAAUGCCACACCUCAAGCUUAUUGACAAUGGCAUGCCAAACUAAAUAAUCUUGAGUAGAGUUUAUCUUCCCCCUUUACAAUUUAUAAACGCAGACAUCAUGAACACAUUCACAAGCUUAAGUCUCUCUCUUAAAAUAGACAUUUUAAGAAGUUUCUUCUAGAGAUUUUAGAAAAGUAACACGUAGAAAGCACAUCAAUAGAGAAUGCACCAGAAGAUGAAUUUUUGAAUUUACAGCCGAUUCCACCUUAGAUUAGUUGCUUGAGCUGCCAAGAUCGAAGUCCAUUGUGUAAUCAUAUUCAAUAGUUGGAAUUACAGAGGCUACAAAUUUCAAGAAUAGGAAAAGAUACUUGUCAACUUCUGGUUCAACUCCUCGUGACAUUAAGACAUCAAUAAUUUUCUUCAUGACAGCCCCAUGUCGGCAUGGAUGUACAGAAGCAUGCUUUCCAGGCAAGUGAGGAUGGUCUUCAAUAGUUACCGUUUUGCGUGCAUGGUCUUGACUAACAUCUUCAAGAACAAGUUCUGGUUGCAGAAGCAUCCUCGACUCAUCAUAUCCAGUGAGCCAUACACGAGGAGUUUGAUAAUAUUUAUCAUACGUGAUGCUGACAUCAUAUGUUCGAGUACGUAAAAUAUUGUCAUCAUCAGGUUCAUGAGCUACAAGAUAAGCAGACUGAAGUGUUGCAGGAUCUGUUUCAAUUAGAUUGUUAGUGUCUUCAUAGUCUGCCAUGUCUGGAAUAUCUUCUUCCUCUUCACCCCCAAAGUAUGAGGGUAUUGAUUGAAUAUGAUUCUUUUUGCUGAUCUCUAGGGCCUCCAUCGACGGUACAUUAUCAUCCUCAUCACCUUUUGUUUCUUUUGGUUUCCCAUGAGUUGCCAGCCAGCCAUCAUUAUCUUCAUUAUCAAGUAGAACUUCACCGCCAGCAGCUUCAUAUUCUUCUUCAACAGACGCAGCUCUUCGUAGGCAGGGAACAUUCCGAGUGAUCAAGAACUGUUUUUCUGGAGGCAAGUAAGACUUCCUCUUGCUUGGUUCGCCUGAUUCCCAGGACCAGGUGGGGCAUUUAGAGACGAGAUUGUCACCAGCGAUAAUGAAUUCGCUGACGCUAAGAACGCCUUUCUCUUUGAAGGCAGAGACCGUCCGCGGCCCUGUGAUUCUCUCUACUGUGCCUUUGAAUGCUUCGUGAAGCUUCUGUGACAGUACCAUCUCUGGAUAUGCAGAUAAAAUAACAAUUAAGUUCUGGCAAACCCUAGAAAUUGCAGAGAGAGAGAAAGAGAGAGCCGAGAGGGGUGGGCAGGGCGAGAGAGAGAACGGCGUGGUUGUCCCGUUAGCUUUGCUGCGAUGGUUG
rnacentral:misc_RNA from 1 species